rnacentral:rRNA from 1 species
AGUGAACGCUGGCGGUAGGCCUAACACAUGCAAGUCGAACGGCAGCACAGAGGAGCUUGCUCCUUGGGUGGCGAGUGGCGGACGGGUGAGGAAUACAUCGGAAUCUACUCUGUCGUGGGGGAUAACGUUGGGAAACUUACGCUAAUACCGCAUACGACCUACGGGGGAAAGCAGGGGACCUUCGGGCCGUGCUCGAUGGAAUGAGCCGAUGUGGGAUUAGCUAGUUGGCGGGGUAAAGGCCCACCAAGGCGACGAUCCGUAGCUGGUCUGAGAGGAUGAUCAGCCACACUGGAACUGAGACACGGUCCAGACUCCUACGGGAGGCAGCAGUGGGGAAUAUUGGACAAUGGGCGCAAGCCUGAUCCAGCCAUACCGCGUGGGUGAAGAAGGCCUUCGGGUUGUAAAGCCCUUUUGUUGGGAAAGAAAUCCAGCUGGCUAAUACCCGGUUGGGAUGACGGUACCCAAAGAAUAAGCACCGGCUAACUUCGUGCCAGCCGCCGCAGUAA